AUUUCAGACAUCUCCUGCCCUCUCCAUGAAUGCCUGGCUAACCAUGACCAUUCCCACACACUGAGCUCACGCCCUUCAUGAAGGAGAAGCAGGUUUAGCUGGAAACAUGGACAACUGACCAGAGUCUGCAUCUGUACAUUUCUCUGCAUUGUAAGGCACAGGCCAGGAAUCCCCUGAACAGAGCCUAACUCUCACCAAGUCCCUCUUGUCGGAUGAUACAAGAAAGGAGAUCUGAUUGGAGAAAUUACUGCUUAGAAGAGCAACGACAGGCAAAUUAUGUUACUUGCACACAUCUUCACAUGCUAUUUCAUGCCCUUAGCCAAGAGCUGAAAGGCAUGUUGGCUCUGAUAACAGGAGUCCAGGUGAUCGAUGAGCCCUGGAGGUGUCAAAUGGUAGCCGCAACAUGCCAGGGGGCUCCAGUUGGUCUGCAGGCUGAGAACAGAAAUGCUCUACUUUCUCCACUUAGCAGUUCACUGGCUGAAGAAAGGUGUUACCCUAGGCAGAAGAAGAGAAAUAGUCAACUUAAUGCUCUACCAAUGACUCUUCACCUUCCAGCAAAACAUUACAAACCCGUGGCAGGUCCAAGUAAAAACAUCCUGGGCAAAAACAUCCUAAUCACCUGCUCGCUAGGCAAGUGCACGUGAAUUGUACCAACAGCUUCCAGAAGUUGACCAGGACACUGAACCUUACUUUCCAGCUCACAGAUGGGCUGUGACUUUGGCUGUGAGUAAUCAGGUUACAAGAAGGCACUAAAUCUUCAUGAGGGUAUGGCUCCUUGUCAAAACAAAACAUAUAAUCUAAGGUUUCAGCAGAAGAUAUUUUUGGAAAGGAAAAUACAAGUGAAAAUAAAAUGGUCUUGUUGCAAGAAUUAAAGUCUAAU
rnacentral:lncRNA from 12 species